GCCUCUUAUGAUGUCUGCACCUCUGAUGUUCAGUCCAGAAUUUUUUGACGUCGAACAAUAUUUUUCUGCUAGGAGCCUCAUUUCAUCUAGAUCUUUCAAUAUUGAUGACUUUCAUGGGUUUGGAAUGGUCCCUUUGGCAUAUCUGUAAGUUAAUCCAUCUUCUAUAUUGUUAUCAAUAUAUAUACUUCCUUGCAAUUUCUGUUCUGUGCAUCGCUUACCUAUGGCCGAUAGAGUGAGUGAGAGGUACUCACUUCUUAAAAGUCUGGCCAAAUGGUAAUCCCAAAAAAGAAACGACGGUUUAAGCCAUUGUCUGCGCUCUGCCCAUUUAUGCCAUUAAGGUCCAACGCAAUUUUCUCUAAAUCUUAGUGCCUUUUUAAGAAUUCCACUUGAGGCAUAUAUUCUGGAAAGAAAAUCCGUCAUAGAAUCUGUAAAGAGAACACUAAGAAAGAGCCUUAAGACAAAGCUGAGCUGAAACGAUCUACCAAAGAAAUUACUUGUUGUGGAAGAGCCUUAACAAGCAUAUAUCUGUAACAGAAAACCCAUCGUUGAGUUUGAAAAGGCAACACUAGGAAAAAGCCUUAAGACGAGCUGAGCUGAAACAAUAUAGCUAAAGAAGUUGCUUGUUGUGGUGAGCCUCAACCGCUUUAACAGCAAGCAAUAAACCACAAUUAUUUUGAUUUUGGAGCCAAGAGUGGCUCGAGGGUCAUUGGAGAAACUUGACCUUGAAAAAUAAAAGGUUUUUGAUUUCUCACUCUGUCAAUUCAAUGAAUUCAGAUUUAACCACAAGACCAAUGCUGAGGAUGUACAUUUUACCUUGGUGUCUUCUGACGUCGAGUCCGAUGAUAGUACUUCUCAACUAAAUGAUGUGUAUCCAUAUGACGACAAGUCCAAAUGCUGGAAUUCUCCUCUGGAUAAAGUAGGAUCAGAUUCUCUUGUAAACGAGGCCAACAAUGCAGAUGAUACUGACUCAGACUCUUCUGAUCUCAGAGAUGAUCCUACAACGCUUGAGAUGAUUAUGGUGAAGAAUGUCAAAGCUGGCAAUGAGGCGAUACAGUAAAGCAAGAGUAUCAUUAUGGAGAAAGCUGGAGUAAUAUGGUGUUGAUAAUGAAAACAUUGAAUAUUUUGAGAUAUCAUAAGAUGGGGAACCACAAACUGAACUACUGAUAUCAAUAUACAUAAUGUUGCUAUCAGAGGAUGCAUUUAAUCACUUUGAUCUAACUACAUCAGUUUCUGGGAAUUUUAGUGGUGUUAUGUUGUAUCAAAAGGGAAAGAGCAUCUGGAUUAAAGAUUCAAAAAUUAGGAAGGAUGUUUUGCUUACCAAAAAUGUUCAUAAAGCUCGUGUCACUUGCAAAUAUGCGUGAAGCUUUAUAUGGUUCAAGUCAUUUAGAAGAAGACCUUCAGACGUUGUGUGGCAUACAAGAUAAUAGGAAGUUAUAUCAUUCUUUGAUGUUGCAUGUAAGCGAGAGGACGAUCCUAAAGAAACUCAGAUCUUAUGCUGUUGUGGCUGGUCAGUUAUCAACUAGUGAAAGGCAGUCCUCUUUGAGUAAGAACACUUGAACAAGUCUUGCACGAAUCCAAUCUACUAUAAUGGUGAAGCUACCAAGUUUUGCAAGAAUCCAUUGAAGUAGUGAGGUGGCAAUUCAUUGAUUUAUAGACCUUUUUGUAAGUUUGGCAGCACAAUUUUGGUUCAAACAUACUUAUUUAAAUAGCUUGUUCGUACCAAAACAUAUAUGUUUAUUGCUUCAUUGUACAAACACUUUACAAACAAUUGUACAUAUAUUAAACUAUAUAUAUUAAAGCGUUCACCAUUUCUUUCCA